rnacentral:lncRNA from 1 species
AGAGGACGUACUAGCUAGACUGCAGUAGUGACCGUCACUUUGGUUAUGUUUUAUUUCCGCAUUAGUAAUUUAAAUAAUUAAAUGGUUCAGUUAAAUGAUCACUAUAAAUGUUUGAAUGUUCGUGAACUGGUUUGAGUUGAUGUUUUCAUAUGAUGCUGGCAAUUGGAGAUUUAUGAAUAAUUGGUUCUUGAAUUUAUGUAUUUACGCAUCGUGGUUUUCUACCCCUCGAGGUAGUCGGUUUUCAAAAGUGAAGUUUCCGAGUAGGAAACAGUUUUAAAAGGUUUUCUAAUAAUUUUUAUGGAUGAUUAAAUAGAGUUUAAAAAUAAAGUUUUCGGGUGGGGAGCACUUUUAAAUAGGAUGAUUGUUGUACUAUAUGCAUUGUAUCAUCCAGCGCCUAAGGAGUGUUUAGAGACAUGCAUCAUUUUUAAGGAUCGCUAGCUGUAUGAAAAUGUAUUUCAUAAAUUGCUUGUGGAAUGGUAAAUUUAGGUUGUUGUUGUGAUCCUGAUGUUAUUACUGGUACGCCGUGCAAAUAAAAGGAGACUCUGUCCGAGUGGACAGAGGAACUUUGUAUUUGUGACGCGUUUGUACGUCACGUGGGCAAGGUUGAAUUCAAAUAAAAAAAUAAUAACGACAUGUUUUUCGUAACUCUGAUUGCAAAAAUGGUAUUCAUUAUAAAAAAGUUUUUAAAAUCGGUCUUGGGGCGUGACAGAUUAAGAUGGUAUCAGAGCAUGAAACAACUACAACUGCAUUUACAAGUUUUCUAGCUGAACC